GUUUGGAUAAGAAGUCAGGAUCUAAUCAGAGAAAUUUAGGAAUCAGGAUUUCAGUCAUUCUGUCGUCUGUGGUGUUGGUGCUCUGUGUCGCCGCACUCAUCUUUGUCAGAGAGCUCAUGGUGAAUUAUAACUGAAACAAGAAACACUCAGGAAACUGGACCAUUUUCAGUCAAAUGAAGGGACACUCAGACACUCAGCGGCAGAAGGCAGACACUUCCUGAGGAGUGUCAGUUCAUUAUGCCAGAGUGUUACUUUUUUUUUUUUAUCUCAGUGCUUUGUGCUGUUUAUUUAUUUUUUGUAUAUCUUUGAAAUGGUGCUGUUUAUAAAAAGUCAUGUUUUGGUGUUUUGUCAGAUAUUUAAACAUUAAGUUACUUGAAAUGUGAACUGUGAAAACGAGCAUGAGUGGCUAACAUGAACCUUUCUCAUCAAUAACUUUGAUUAAAUUGAUUUUAUUGAUUAAAUUGAUACUACCAGAGACAACUACAAUGAAAACUGCACUGUGCUUUUGUAAAUAACAACACUUUUCCACCUGAAAUUGCAGAAAAUGGCAGCUGAAGGUCUCUGUUUGUUCACUGUGAACAUGUUAUGCUCAAUUUAUUACUACGUGUAUUGUUAAAAAACCAACACAUACAUUUGUGUUCAGUUACUCAGACCAGGAAUAUUUAUCACCUUAGUAAUGUAAGACCAUCCUAGUGCUAGUCAAGUAUUGUUUUAAUAAUGUUUUAAUGUUUUUUUUAUCUGCAAACAUUGCACUGCUCAUCAGAAAGUGUAAAGAAACAUUUGACGCUUUUGCUUCUUCUCUGUGUCAAACUGGACUUAAUGCAAAACACUCCUUAUUGUCUCCAUGUAGUUUUGCAGGUAUACUAUCUGUUGAUAUGAGUUACCUUUCCACACAUAAAGACAGCAAUUUUCAGGCUUACAGUUUGUCAGUCUAAACACAUGCAGACUGCUGUUAUUCUCACUGUACUGCUGACUGACACAUUUUCAAAGGUAAAUAAAUUUCACA